rnacentral:rRNA from 1 species
AUUGAACGCUGGCGGCAUGCCUUACGCAUACAAGUCGAACGGCAGCGGGGACUUCGGUCCGCCGGCGAGUGGCGAACGGGUGAGUAAUGUAUCGGAACGUACCUUUCAGUGGGGGAUAACGUAGCGAAAGUUACGCUAAUACCGCAUAUUCUCUGAGGAGGAAAGCAGGGGACCUUCGGGCCUUGCGCUGAUAGAGCGGCCGAUAUCAGAUUAGCUAGUUGGUGGGGUAAAGGCGCACCAAGGCUACGAUCUGUAGCGGGUCUGAGAGGAUGAUCCGCCACACUGGGACUGAGACACGGCCCAGACUCCUACGGGAGGCAGCAGUGGGGAAUUUUGGACAAUGGGGGCAACCCUGAUCCAGCCAUGCUGCGUGAGUGAAGAAGGCCUUCGGGUUGUAAAGCUCUUUCGGCCGGGAAGAAAUCGUGUGGGCUAAUACCCUGCAUGGAUGACGGUACCGGAAUAAGAAGCACCGGCUAACUACGUGCCAGCCGCCGCAGUAA